GGUGUUUCCGUGGAUGCGGGAGUUCUUGGGAUGGAUGGUCGUUGAGCAGUUUUUCUUUCGUUUCAGCGGCAUGCAUUUCCGUGGCUUCGGCGAGGGGGGCGUGCCUUUCUUUUUCAAACGAUCUGGUUGCUGUUGCUGCUUGCCAAUUCACUGUUGUAUCCUUCUCAUGGGCUGCUGGGGCUGGGGCUGUGCUGGUUUUCCCUUUCUCCAAGUCAUUCCUGUGUUCGUUGGGCCGUUGGCUGGGGACUCUGUUGGUUGCACCUGUGUGGACUUCUUCUUCUUCCGUGGUGUUGUUCUUUGCAGGUA
rnacentral:lncRNA from 1 species